UUCUCGACUUACACAUGCAAGUCUCCGCAGUCCAGUGAGAACGCCCUUAAAACCUCUUUAGGUCAAGGAGCCGACAUCAGGCACAGCAAGUCUUACCCACAACGUCUAGUCUCACCACACCUUCAAAGGUACUCAGCAGUGAUUAAAUUUGUCUAUGAGCGCCAGCUUGAAUCAGUUAGAGAAAUUAGAGCCGGCCAAUUCGGUGCCAGCCGCCGCGGCUACACCGCAAGGCUCAAGUUGAUAUUAGUCGGCGUCAAGCGUGAUUAAAGGAACCCAAAAUUAGGAUCGAACUCAGACUUAGCUGUUUAAAGCAAGCCCCGGAGAAGACCACGCACGAAAGUUAUUCUAAUUAAUCUCUUGAAUACACGAUAGUUUGGGGACAAACUGGGAUUAGAUACCCCACUAUGCCAAAUCGUAAAUCUAAAUUACAUACAAAACGCCAGGGUAUUACGAGCUUUAGCUUAAAACCCAAAGGACUUGACGGUGUCCUACCCAACUAGAGGAGCCUGUUCUAUAAUCGAUAACCCACGAUAUACCUAACCAUUUUUUGCUACUCAGUCUGUAUACCUCCGUCGUAAGCCUACCAUUUGAAUGAAUUAGUGGGCACAAGGACUCAUCGCCAAAACGUCAGGUCAAGGUGCAGCUUAUAAAGUGGAAGAGAUGGGCUACAAUUUCUAAACUAGAACAAACGAAUUACUAUAUGAAAUAUAGUCACGAAGGUGGAUUUAGCAGUAAGUAGGGAAUAGAGAGCCCCACUUAACCUGGCCCUAGGACGUGUACAAACCGCCCGUCACCCUCUUCAAUAACCUUAAUUAAGAUACAUAACACAAUUUAGUACCCUAGAAGAGGUAAGUCGUAACAUGGUAAGUAUACUGGAAAGUGUACUUGGAAUAA
rnacentral:ncRNA from 1 species